rnacentral:rRNA from 1 species
UUAAAUCACCAAAUCACGCGGAAUGCACCCGAUCUCAUCAAGAGCCGAAAGCUAAGCAGGGUUGAGCCUGGAUAAUGCUUGGAUGGGCGACCACCGAGCAUGACACCGGUGUCAUAGGCU